GGACAUGUUUUGUGUUUAGUUUACUUGUUUGUAUUUAUGUUUUUUGUUGAUAUGUUAGGGGCGGAUUGUUUCAAGGUGGUAGACAACAAAUAAUUUCCUGAUCCAACCCUUGUUUCUCUAGUUUUGAUUUGUUUUAGGCGACUUGGGGAUGGUAAUUAACCAGAGUGUAAAGUUGGAGACGACUAUGGCAGUUUAAUGUAGAUGUGAGGAGAUGGGAUUUGCAGAGGAAGGGUUGAAGAAAUGAAUGUAUUUGAAGACUAGGUUAACAAGAAGAUCUUAGUUUUUGUUGUGACUUUCAGACCACUUUGUGCAUAUGCUUAGUUACAUCAGAAGGACAAGGUGCUCCAAACUAAUCCAUCCACCAACUCACUCUCGGGAAUUCAAGUAGGAAAAGCUUGCAACCACGGUGAGUAUACUCGUA